UCCAGAAACCCCGCCUUUUGCAAGAACCUCCAUUACUAGAACCUUCUUUCCCCUUCUCGACGCUUCUUCUGCUUCAAUAAAACCCCAAUUCCUCUUCUCCUUAACCUCAGAUUCUUGGAUGAUUUGAUCUAAGUGCUCUCUUAGCUCUCCGCAGUUUAAGCAUUCUUAUAAUCUCCGUCAAUGGCUUCUUCAAUUGCUCUCCGAAGGCUGUCUGCUUCCUCCGCCGCUAAGCUCUUCAGUCCUGUUCGUUCCGCCUCUGUCCUUCCUUCUGUCGGUCGUUUUUUCAACACUAAUGCUCAGAUUGCUAGUUACGACGACGAAGACCGCUCCGUCGAUUUGGACAGCCGCCGGAGCGGUUCUCUCUCUCGUUAUCGUGAUCGCUUCCCUGGUUUCGCAGAUGUGUUCGAUCAUUUUUCGCCGAACCGGAGCCUGAGUCAGGUCAUGAAUCUGAUGGACCAGUUCAUGGAGGAUCCAAUUCUGGCAGCUUCACGAGGAGUUGGAGCAGGAUCAAGGAGGGGCUGGGACGUAAGAGAAGACGACGACGCUCUGUACUUGCGAAUGGACAUGCCUGGACUGAGCAAAGAAGAUGUGAAGGUGAGCGUAGAGCAGAACACUCUGAUAAUCAAAGGCGAAGCUGCAAAGGAAUCCGAAGACGAGGCAGACCGGCGACGAUUCUCAAGCCGACUGGAUUUGCCCGACAACCUCUACCAGCUGGAUUCGAUCAAAGCAGAAAUGAAAAAUGGUGUUCUGAAAUUGAGCGUGCCGAAGGUGAAGGAAGAAGAGAGGAAGGCUGUGAAGCAUGUUACAGUUGAGUAGUUUGGUCUAAAACUUGAAGAAAAAGCUCUGUAGCUUUUAGAGUUGAAUAUGGAGUUCUCAUCGCCUUUUGCUGUGGUCUCUGUUUCAUGGAUGUUUGCGAACAUUGUCGAGCUGUUUUGAAAAUUCCCAUGUAGCUGAUUUCAACGGAGUUUCCCCCCUCAUUUGUUGAUGGAAUCUAAGAUAUAAGCCGCUUUACAUAGUCAAAGUUUCCAUCAUGUUGGUGCCUCUUCUCUUCUGCGUUCUUCAUCCCAUCAUGGUGCUUUAGAGCGUCGCUAUACAAUUACAACUCGUCUUUGCUCAAUGAUACACAACACUCAUGCUUUAGCACCUAGUACAACUACCAUCCGUGCAACAACAGCUCGUGUUUGACACCAAUUAAAGCUGAUCUUAGUUUUUGAUGGACCCGGGGGUACAUGGUAGCAUACGUCUACAAUGCCAUUGACACUUUCGACCGACAUUCAAGCCUCCUCUCGCAAUGUCAAAUGACCAAGUCUUCAAGGUGCACGUUCCUUCCCCCAAGAAACUCAAUCAUAAAUGGUUCAUGAAAAUUGAAGAAACUUUAAGGAAGCAUGAUUGUAAUAUUAUUGUAAGGAAGAAAAUGUGAUCAAGUUUUGUCACAGUCCAACAUGGCAUGUUCCCUUCAAU